GGUCACUGCUAUCGGUGUUCGUCUAAGCCAUGCGAGUCAUAUGUUCUUCGGAACAUGGCGUACUGCUCAGUAACACGUGGAUAACCUGCCCUUGGGUCUGGCAUAACCCCGGGAAACUGGGGAUAAUACCGGAUAACGCAUAUCUGCUGGAAUUCUUUAUGCGUGAAAUGGAUUCGUCUGCCCAAGGAUGGGUCUGCGGCCUAUCAGGUAGUAGUAGGUGUAAUGUACCUACUAGCCGACGACGGGUACGGGUUGUGAGAGCAAGAGCCCGGAGAUGGAUUCUGAGACAUGAAUCCAGGCCCUACGGGGCGCAGCAGGCGCGAAAACUUUACAAUGCGGGAAACCGUGAUAAGGGGACACCGAGUGCCAGCAUUAUAUGUUGGCUGUCCGGGUGUGUAAAAUACACCUGUUAGCAAGGGCCGGGCAAGACCGGUGCCAGCCGCCGCGGUAACACCGGCGGCCCGAGUGGUGAUCGUGUUUAUUGGGUCUAAAGGGUCCGUAGCCGGUUUGGUCAGUCCUCCGGGAAAUCUGACGGCUUAACCGUUAGGCUUUCGGGGGAUACUGCCAGACUUGGAACCGGGAGAGGUAAGAGGUACUACAGGGGUAGGAGUGAAAUCUUGUAAUCCCUGUGGGACCACCUGUGGCGAAGGCGUCUUACCAGAACGGGUUCGACGGUGGGGGACGAAAGCUGGGGGCACGAACCGGAUUAGAUACCCGGGUAGUCCCAGCCGUAGACGAUGCUCGCUAGGUGUCAGGCAUGGCGCGACCGUGUCUGGUGCCGCAGGGAAGCCGUGAAGCGAGCCACCUGGGAAGUACGGCCGCAAGGCUGAAACUUAA
rnacentral:rRNA from 1 species